AGUGAACGCUGGCGGUAGGCCUAACACAUGCAAGUCGAACGGCAGCACAGUAAGAGCUUGCUCUUACGGGUGGCGAGUGGCGGACGGGUGAGGAAUACAUCGGAAUCUACUUUUUCGUGGGGGAUAACGUAGGGAAACUUACGCUAAUACCGCAUACGACCUACGGGUGAAAGCAGGGGAUCUUCGGACCUUGCGCGAUUGAAUGAGCCGAUGUCGGAUUAGCUAGUUGGCGGGGUAAAGGCCCACCAAGGCGACGAUCCGUAGCUGGUCUGAGAGGAUGAUCGGCCAAACGGGACGUGAGACACGGUCCAGACUCCUACGGGAGGCAGCAGUGGGGAAUAUUGGACAAUGGGCGCAAGCCUGAUCCAGCCAGACCGCGUGGGUGAAGAAGGCCUUCGGGUUGUAAAGCCCUUUUGUUGGGAAAGAAAAGCAGCAGGUUAAUACCCCGCUGUUCUGACGGUACCCAAAGAAUAAGCACCGGCUAACUUCGU
rnacentral:rRNA from 1 species